rnacentral:rRNA from 1 species
UACGUAGGUGGCAAGCGUUGUCCGGAUUUACUGGGCGUAAAGCGCACGUAGGCGGCGCAGCAAGUCAGGGGUGAAAUCCCGGAGCUCAACUCCGGAACUGCCUUUGAAACUGCAGUGCUAGAAUCCUGGAGAGGCGAGUGGAAUUCCGAGUGUAGAGGUGAAAUUCGUAGAGAUCGGGAGGAACACCAGAGGCGAAGGCGGCAAGCUGGAUGGGCACUGACACUCAACUACGAAAGCGUGGGGAGCAAACAGG